rfam:Gossypium raimondii Chr11_contig_603, whole genome shotgun sequence.
CACGUCAGUGCGAUGUGCUGACUCAGCAGGAAAUCGCGCUCCCUAGGACGCGAUUUCUUGCUGAGUUAGCACAUCGCGUUGACGUGG